CCUACGGGUGGCAGCAGUGGGGACUUUUGGACAAUGGGCGCAAGCCUGAUCCAGCUAUUCCGCGUGUGGGAAGACGGCCUUCGGGUUGUAAACCACUUUUGUAGAGAACGAAAAGUCUAUUGAUAAUACCGAUAGAUGAUUACGGUACUCUAAGAAUAAGCACCGGCUAACUACGUGCCAGCAGCCGCGGUAAUCCGUAGGGUGCUAGCGUUAAUCGGAAUUACUGGGCGUAAAGGGUGUGCAGGCGGUUUUGCAAGAUGGAUGUGAAAGCCCCGGGCUUAACCUGGGAAAGCCAUACAUGAGUGGUAGACUAGAGUGCGUGUGAGGGGGGUGGAAUUCCAAGUGUAGCAGUGAAAUGCGGAGAUAUUUGGAAGAAAACCGAUGGCGAAGGCAGCCCCCUGGGACGCAACUGACGCUCAUGCACGAAAGCGUGGGGAGCAAACAGGAUGAGAUACCCUAGUAGUC
rnacentral:rRNA from 1 species